rnacentral:miRNA from 1 species
GGAGGAUCACUUGAGCCCAGGAUGUCGAGGCCGCAGUGAGCUGUGAUCACACCACUGCACUCCAGCCUGAGUGACAGAGCAAGACCCUGUCUCA